rnacentral:lncRNA from 1 species
GGGGCAGUGUGGGCUGUCCUGGGGAGGCCUGCUCAGCAGGAGGCUGUCAGGGCAGCUUUGCCGCUGGGAGCCAAACCAUUCCAGCUGUCUUUGAGGGAACACAGAUUCUUGCUGCACCACACCAAGGGAGGCUUCAGACAGGAAGAUGUGUACUGAUUUGUGGAUCAUGGCCAACGACUCUGAAGUCUUGUCAAUUCUAUUCUGCAGGCUUUCUAAAAGAGAAAAGACAAGAACUCUUUUCUCCAACCAGGUAAAUGUGUGACUAUAAUACCAGUAAAAGGAUCUUUGAAGUGUUUUUCUUCAC